rnacentral:misc_RNA from 1 species
GAAAACCAUUUUAAAUGCUAUUUGUGAGGGUUGGUCAAGCACCUCUUGAAGUUUGAAGCUAAGAGUGUUUGGGAUAAUACUUAUAAAUGGUUUGCAAGCAUCUUGGGAAGUCUUGUAGUUGUAAAAGGUUUUGAGUCUUGCCAUUGAAAGGAACAUUGUAGUGGAGUAAAGACUCAAAGGGAUCUUUAAGAGAGUGGAGGUAGGCUUGUUGGCUGAACCACUAUAAAAUCUCAUGUUCAAUCUUCUAAACU